GCGAGACCGGGGCCAGCAGCGGAUGAAGGAUGGGGGGGGUAAGCGUUGUCAGGAAUUGUUGAGCGGAAAGCGUCAGUUGUGGGUGAGUCAAGUCGUCGGUAAAAGAGUGGGGCUUAACCGUGGGAAGGCCGUGGAAACUGACGAGCUAGAGUGCAGUAGGGGUAGAGGGAAUUCCCGGUGUAGCGGUGAAAUGCGUAGAGCUCGGGAAGAACAUCGGUGGCGAAAGCGCUCUACUGGACUGCAACUGACACUCAGGGACGAAAGCUAGGGGAGCGAAUGGGAUUAGAUACCCCGGUAGUC
rnacentral:rRNA from 1 species